GAUGAACGCUGGCGGCGUGCCUAAUACAUGCAAGUCGAGCGAACGGGCGAGAAGCUUGCUUCUCUGAUGUUAGCGGCGGACGGGUGAGUAACACGUGGAUAACCUACCUAUAAGACUGGGAUAACUUCGGGAAACCGGAGCUAAUACCGGAUAAUAUUUUGAACCGCACGGUUCAAAAGUGAAAGACGGUCUUGCUGUCACUUAUAGAUGGAUCCGCGCUGCAUUAGCUAGUUGGUAAGGUAACGGCUUACCAAGGCAACGAUGCAUAGCCGACCUGAGAGGGUGAUCGGCCACACUGGAACUGAGACACGGUCCAGACUCCUACGGGAGGCAGCAGUAGGGAAUCUUCCGCAAUGGGCGAAAGCCUGACGGAGCAACGCCGCGUGAGUGAUGAAGGUCUUCGGAUCGUAAAACUCUGUUAUUAGGGAAGAACAUAUGUGUAAGUAACUGUGCACAUCUUGACGGUACCUAAUCAGAAAGCCACGGCUAACUACGUG
rnacentral:rRNA from 1 species